rnacentral:tRNA from 1 species
GGCGUGGUGGCAGAGUGGUCUAAUACGCCAGACUAGAAAUCUUGUUCCUUCGGGAGCGCCUGUUCGAAUCAGGCCCACGUCG